rnacentral:rRNA from 2 species
GGAGGAAAAGAAACCAACAGGGAUUGCCCUAGUAACGGCGAGUGAAGCGGCAACAGCUCAAAUUUGAAAUCUGGCCUCUUUGGGGGUCCGAGUUGUAAUUUGCAGAGGGUGCUUUGGCGUUGGCUGUGGUCUAAGUUCCUUGGAACAGGACGUCGCAGAGGGUGAGAAUCCCGUAUGUGGCCGCCAGUCUUCGCCGUGUAAAGCCCCUUCGACGAGUCGAGUUGUUUGGGAAUGCAGCUCUAAAUGGGAGGUAAAUUUCUUCUAAAGCUAAAUAUUGGCCAGAGACCGAUAGCGCACAAGUAGAGUGAUCGAAAGAUGAAAAGCACUUUGGAAAGAGAGUCAAAAAGCACGUGAAAUUGUUGAAAGGGAAGCGCUUGCAGCCAGACUUGCUUGCAGUUGUUCAGCCGGGCUCUUGCCCGGUCUACUCUUCUGCUCGCAGGCCAGCAUCAGUCCGGGCGGUUGGAUAAAGGCCUAUUAAACGUACCUCCCCUCGGGGAGGACUUAUAGGGUAGGCGACAUGCAACCAGCCCGGAUUGAGGUCCGCGCAUCUGCUAGGAUGCUGGCGUAAUGGCUGUAAGCGGCCCGUCUUGAAACACGGACCAAGGAGUCUAACAUCUAUGCGAGUGUUUGGGUGUCAAGCCCGAGCGCGUAAUGAAAGUGAACGGAGGUGGGAACCUUUCGGGGUGCACCAUCGACCGAUCCUGAUGUCUUCGGAUGGAUUUGAGUAAGAGCAUAGCUGUUGGGACCCGAAAGAUGGUGAACUAUGCCUGAAUAGGGUGAAGCCAGAGGAAACUCUGGUGGAGGCUCGCAGCGGUUCUGACGUGCAAAUCGAUCGUCAAAUUUGGGCAUAGGGGCGAAAGACUAAUCGAACUAUCUAGUAGCUGGUUCCU